CCUACGGGGGGCUGCAGUUUGGAAUAUUGCACAAUGGGGGAAACCCUGAUGCAGCGACGCCGCGUGGAGGACGAAGGAUCUAGGUCUGUAAACUCCUUUUGCCAGGAAAGACUUAGGACGGUACCUGGCGAAUAAGUCCCGGCUAACUACGUGCCAGCAGCCGCGGUAAGACGUAGGGGGCGAGCGUUGUCCGGAUUUACUGGGCGUAAAGAGCGCGUAGGCGGCUAGUUAAGUGAGAAGUGAAAUCUCCAGGGCUCAACCCGGAAACUGCUUUUCAUACUGGCCAGCUGGAGGGACGCAGGGGUGACUGGAAUUCCCGGUGUAGCGGUGAAAUGCAUUGAUAUCGGGAGGAACUCCAACAGCGAAGGCAGGUCACUGGGCGUUUCCUGACGCUGAGGCGCGAAAGCGUGGGUAGCAAACAGGAUUAGAUACCCGUGUAGUC
rnacentral:rRNA from 1 species